UACGGAGGAUUCAAGCGUUAUCCGGAUUUACUGGGUGUAAAGGGAGCGUAGGCGGCGACGCAAGUCAGAAGUGAAAGCCCGGGGCUCAACUCCGGGACUGCUUUUGAAACUGCGUUGCUAGAUUGCGGGAGAGGCAAGUGGAAUUCCUAGUGUAGCGGUGAAAUGCGUAGAUAUUAGGAGGAACACCAGUGGCGAAGGCGACCUGCUGGACGGUGUACUGACGCUGAGGCUCGAAAGCGUGGGGAGCAAACAGG
rnacentral:rRNA from 1 species